rfam:Chlamydomonas reinhardtii strain CC-503 cw92 mt+ CHLREscaffold_846 genomic scaffold, whole genome shotgun sequence.
GCACUUAUAGCUCAGUUGGUUAGAGCACCCGUUUAGUAAGCGGGAGGUCUCCAGUUCGAAUCUGGAUAAGUGCA